CAUAUAUGUGAAACACUGUUAAAUAUAUUGAAAUACAUUUUUAAAAUAUAUUUUUAAAAUGCAUAACAUAAAGCUCAUAUUGUGUUUAAUUGUGUUUACAUGUGAAAUUAUAUUCAUGCCUCAUAUGAUAUUAUAUUAUAUUAUAUGUUAUAUUAUAGAAUAGUAUAUCCUGUUGUUUUAGUUAUAUACAACUGACUUCAAACAAUGUUUUGCAUUCACUGCUUUCAUAUUCUCAUUCAAUUUACAGUUUGAUGUAGGCCUACUAAACAAUACAUGAUGAAGUUUCAGGACAUUUUAUUUGACUUUUGUACUAUUUAUGUAAAUGCAUAACUUUGAUGUGUUUUAGGCCAUGCUGGCCAAUCAGAAGCCUGACAAAGUUUCAAGUAGGCGAAGAUAACAGCGCAGGCUCCGACGUCACAAGCCAAAAACUCUGGUUUUGCUGUCUAACGUUACAUGAUAACACUGCAACCGGAGUUUUUUAAAAUCUUCUCCCUGGCAGGAGUUUUCAAAAUGUUCGGUUUCAGUGACCUGGUGCAGCGCUUGCCUGAGGACGAACGGCCAAACCGCAUAGAAAAAGCUGCUGUUUUGAAAAUAACCGCGUUCGUGUGGACGGCCAAUGAGCGCGCGCGUUGAGCAUUCAAAUCGCAUUUAAACUGAAGCGGAGGAGGUUACCAUGGUAACAGGGCGUCAACUCACUCAGCUGACAAGAAGCAAGAGGCUGUCUCUCUGCUGUUUUCACUGCUUUCAGGAGUGUUUUGGUGUCUUCAAAAAGACCGUUAGCAUCACAACCGUUAACUAUGGAGGCUAACAAUUAGAGAGCUGGAGCGGAGCGGAUCUCCUGUGGAAGAACAUCUCCAAAGCGCCAUGAACCAUCUGACUAGGCAGUUCGUGAAGACGGAUAACCUGGACAGAAGUCAGUUCCAGAUCCAGCCUCCACCCCAGACUUCUCACUCACAAGGAUUGCUGUCUACUAGAUAUGUGUACUCUUCAGACUUAGGUUCAUGCAGAUAUUAUUCAGGGACAUGAACACUUGAAUAUUGCAAAAAUAGAGAAACUACCUUAUUUAAGAAUUUUGUGUUAAUUGCGUGAACAUUAAACAAAUAUAUAUUUAUUUUACUGUUUUUUGUUUUGUAUUCCAAAGCACCUAAAAGCCAAUUCACACUGCCA